rnacentral:RNase_P_RNA from 1 species
AGAGUAGUCCAGAUGAUCGCUGGCGUCAGGGACUUGCCGUCCCUGGACGCUGGAGGAAAGUCCGAGCUCCGCAGGGCAGGGUGCUUCGUAACACGAAGUCGUGGUGACGCGAAGGAAAGUGCCACAGAAAGAAAACCGCCUGAUAAUAAGGCAAGGGUGAAAAGGUGCGGUAAGAGCGCACCAGUUCUUCGGGUGACCGGAGAAGCUUGGUAAACCCCACCCGGAGCAAGACCAAAUAGGAGAGCGUUUGAGGGCUGCCCGUCCAAGGCUUUCGGGUUGGUCGCGAGAGGUGUCGAGCAAUCGGCAUCCUUAGAUGAAUGAUCAUCGUUCCGUUGAGGGUGACUGAUACGGAAAACAGGACUCGGCUUACGGACUGCUCUGACA